rnacentral:rRNA from 1 species
GGCUCAGGACGAACGCUGGCGGCGUGCUUAACACAUGCAAGUCGAGCGGGGACAAUGACUUCGGUUGUUGUUCUAGCGGCGGACGGGUGAGUAACGCGUGAGCAAUCUGUCCCAGACAGGGGGAUAACAGAUGGAAACACCUGCUAACACCGCAUAACACAUAUUUAUCGCAUGGUAGAUAUGUCAAAGAUUUAUCGCCAUAAGAUGGACUCGCGUCUGAUUAGAUAGUUGGUGAGGUAACGGCUCACCAAGUCGACGAUCAGUAGCCGAACUGAGAGGUUGAUCGGCCACAUUGGGACUGAGACACGGCCCAGACUCCUACGGGAGGCAGCAGUGGGGGAUAUUGCACAAUGGGCGAAAGCCUGAUGCAGCAACGCCGCGUGAGGGAUGACGGUUUUCGGAUUGUAAACCUCUGUCUUUGGUGACGAAAACAAUGACGGUAGCCAAGGAGGAAGCCACGGCUAACUACGUG